rnacentral:rRNA from 1 species
GACGAACGCUGGCGACGUGCUUAACACAUGCAAGUCGAACGGAAAGGCCUUUUCGGAGGUACUCGAGUGGCGAACGGGUGAGUAACACGUGGGUGAUCUGCCCUGCACUCUGGGAUAAGCCUGGGAAACUGGGUCUAAUACCGGAUAGGACCGCACUUUAGUGUGUGUGGUGGAAAGUUUUUUCGGUGUAGGAUGAGCCCGCGGCCUAUCAGCUUGUUGGUGGGGUAAUGGCCUACCAAGGCGGCGACGGGUAGCCGGACUGAGAGGUUGGUCGGCCACAUUGGGACUGAGAUACGGCCCAGACUCCUACGGGAGGCAGCAGUGGGGAAUAUUGCACAAUGGGCGCAAGCCUGAUGCAGCGACGCCGCGUGGGGGAUGACGGCCUUCGGGUUGUAAACUCCUUUCGCCAGGGACGAAGCGUUUUGUGACGGUACCUGGAGAAGAAGCACCGGCUAACUACGUG